AAUUGUGUGCGAUUCACCUCAUGCUCACGAUUUUCGCUCGCCUGUUUGUUUUGACGUGAGCACUGCCCUACGGGUCCUCAGUCACUCCACGGCCACUGCCCUGCGCUUCCUGGUGGAGAAUCAUGGCUGGAGCACCAACUUCCUCACCACGGCUUGGUUCUUGGAACAGUACCUGAAGGCGUCCAAGGCAGGGUCCUACGAACUGGACGAUGCCUCCUUUUACCUGGCUGACCUCGCAGACUUGGAUGUACAACCUGCUGUGCCCACCGACAUUUUUCUUGAGGAGGUAGAACUCACCAUGUCACAAC